UUUACUUUACUCUGUUUUACUCUGUAAUUGAGGCAGUUCUCAUGCUGAAAUCAGGCCUGUUGCACAUGAUGCACCAAUUAAUAGGCCUGGGGCCUGAAUUAUGUUAUAGAUGCAUUGUCCCCGCUCUGAUUUUACAUGACCUACCACUUCAUGACUGAGUUGCUGUUGUUGCCAGUUGCUUCCACUUUGUCAUAAUACCACUAACAGUUGACUGUGGAAUAUUUAGUAGUGAGGAAAUUUCACAAAUGUACUUAUUGCACAGCUGGCAUCCAAUCACCGUACCACGCUUAAAUUCCCUGAGCUCCCAAAAAUGACCCAUUCUUUCGUAAAUGUUGGUAGAAGCAGUCUGCAUGCCUAGAUGCUUGGUUUUAAACACCUGUGGCUAUGGAAGUGAUUGGAACACCUGAAUUCAAUGAUUUGGAGGGGUGUCCCAAUACUUUUGACAACAUAGUGUAUAUCCACAUAAAUACCCUACAGUCAUGGCAGUGCGAUACGGCAUAAUGUCGUUCUUCAAGUGACACCAUAAACGGAAGGAUUAGAAGAAAAGGAGUUUUCAGGGACCAGCAAGAUUAUUUUUAGAUUUGUACUCGGUCACUGUUUGUCUAUUCUAUAUACCUUGUUGCUACUGUAUAUACAGAAGAAUUUCCUCUUGGCAUUGAUGAACUUUAACUUCCUCUUUUGACCAUGAUGAUGACUGACUUAUGUGGCUUAUGAGCCGAUUUAGGCUCCCAAGACUCAUUCUUCUACUAUAAUGUUCUGAUGUCGGUCCAGCAUUAGAGACCAGCUGCUCAAACUUCAGGCUGUACUGGUUCACAUACAGGCUACGGUUGGCUUUCUGGCAACAGGCACCUACCAGAGGGACCUAGCAGACAGAUCAGCCAAAUCCCACCCAAACCUCAGCUCCUCCAUGCCUUCUGUGCUGGAUGGAGUAACCAGACUGGCAUGGUGCUACAUCGUGUUUCCCUACACUUUGGGUGAACAGGCAAAUGUAAAAACUAAGUGCUGUGAUUUCCAUGCUAAUGCUAUCAGGGCAACUGUCUGCACUCUCAUUGCUAUAAGGGCAACUAGUGCUAAUGAAGCUUUGUCAAUUAAAAGCCAUUUAAUUCUAUUAAUGCACAAGUGAUCUGUGAUGCCGACGUGACAUUGACACAUACAGUAGCUCUGUGGCCUGGGUUUCCUCAUGAUCUAUUCAUUUUGAAUCUCUGUAGCACAUCGGUGUCUCCCGAAUGCUAUGACACAGAACUGCAUAAUAGGGAAUCCCCUAUUUUAGAUGUCGGUUUGUCUCAACAAUUAGUCACACUGGCCCUGUGUGCAGCAAGUAGUUUCCUUCCCUAUAUUGUCAGAUCUGACCACCUUUAUUUUCCGGGUGUUUUGUAGAGCUUACAGACUUCACUGCAGUGGCCACGUCUUGCCAAUCAACACACGUUUUCUUGUGUGUGAUCCCUGUACUUAGGCCCCCAAAUAUAACAUUUUGUCGUGCCUUUACCUCUGACAGGAGGACCUCUAACUCUCACUGUACAAAAUUUCUCUCAUUUUUUUAUUUACAGUCUCCAUCAUUGGACUUUCCUAAAAAGAGAGACUUGUUUGCAAACCAUAUGAAGACAAAGACAAAGAAGUUCCUGAUGAAAACCCUCCAGAGACCCCUUCAAGUGGACACCUAGUAAAGUGGAUUGUUGUGAUUGCUG